rnacentral:rRNA from 1 species
UGGGGAAUAUUGCGCAAUGGGCGAAAGCCUGACGCAGCGACGCCGCGUGAGGGAUGAAGGUUUUCGGAUCGUAAACCUCUGUCAGAAGGGAAGAAACCGCACUGUGCUAAUCAGCAGUGCCUUGACGGUACCUUCAAAGGAAGCACCGGCUAACUACGUGCCAGCAGCCGCGGUAAUACGUAGGGGGCUAGCGUUGUCCGGAAUCACUGGGCGUAAAGGGUUCGCAGGCGGAAAUGCAAGUCAGGUGUAAAAGGCAGUAGCUUAACUACUGUAAGCAUUUGAAACUGCAUAUCUUGAGAAGAGUAGAGGUAAGUGGAAUUUUUAGUGUAGCGGUGAAAUGCGUAGAUAUUAAAAAGAAUACCGGUGGCGAAGGCGACUUACUGGGCUCAUUCUGACGCUGAGGAACGAAAGCGUGGGUAGCAAACAGG